AUGCAACGCAACACCAUGGACAGUUGCCACGCCGUCUAUGACGUGGACUUGCUCCAAUCAGGCUCCAUCGCGUUAGACAUCGUGGAGGCCGUGGUUAAGGAGUUGGAGACAGACCCUUGUUUCAAAUCCUGCCAGGGCCUCGCGCUCACCUGCAAAGGCACUAUCGAGAUGGAGGCCAACAUUAUGGACAGUUGUGGGCUUGUGGCCGCCACCACAAUGCCGUCUUCAGGUCUCCACCGUCAAGAACCGCGUCUUGCUCACUCUGUGUGCUAUGGUUGUGGUUGCCACUUUCAAAUGUUUCAUUGA
rnacentral:rRNA from 1 species